rnacentral:lncRNA from 10 species
CUCCCAAGUAGCUGUGAUUACAGGCAUCUGCCACCACGCCUGGAUAAUUUUUGUAUUUUUAGUAAAGAUGGGGUUUCACCAUCUUGGCCAGGCUGGUCUUGAACUCCUGACCUCAUGAUCCACCCGCCUCAGCCUCCCAAAGUGCUGGGAUUACAGGUGUGAGCCACUGCACCCAGCUGACCUUGAACAAAUUACUUCUCUGUGCCUUUAUUGUAGAAAACAACUUCUAGAAUUGUUGCUAGGAUUCAAUGAGUUAACACACACAUAGAACAGCUCCUAGCACAUAAUAAGCAGCUAAAUACUUAUUAGCUACUACUAUAAUUGGUACCAGCCAUGUGACCUGGAGAGUGGGCUUCAUUUCCUCAUACCUCCCGGGGUCUGCCAGGUCAGAUGCAAUAAUGGGUGUAAAAGACAUUUAUGUACUGUUAAGGUACAUCACAAAAUGUAUAGUAUCAUCACCACAGAUUUAGUUACUUCUAAUGUUGAUUGUUUACUGUCCCUACAGGUAAGCUUACAAUGUAGGAAUCUUUUUGUCUUCUGUCACUGAUGCAUCCUGACCUCCAAAAACAGUGCCUGGUACAUAAAGCACUCAAUAGAGAGUUGUUGAAUUUCUUGAAUGGAUCAAUAAAUUAAUGAACAACUAAAUAAGUGAUCCUGGCUGUCUGAGUCAGUUCAAAUGGCCAUAACAAAAUAUCACAGAUUAGGUGGCUUAAGAAACAGAAAUUUAUUUCUUACUCUCCUGGAGGCUGAAGUCCAAAAUCAAGGCACUGGCCAUUUUGGUCCCUGGUGAGGGCUCUCUUCCUGGCUUGCAGGUGGCUGCCUUCUUUGUGUGUCCUUACAUGGCAGAAAGACAGACAGAAAGAGAGAGGGACAGGGAGAGAUAGUGAGGGCUGGUGUCUCUUCUUACAGGGGCACAAAUCUCAUCACUAGGGCCCCACUCUUAUAACCUCUUUAACCUUAAUUACUUCCUCAGAGGCCCUACCUCAAAAUACUGUCACUUUAGACGUUAGGGUUUCAACAUAUGCAUUUUGGGAGGACACAAUUCAGUCCAUAACACGGCAUGAGUGCACACAUAAAUUUCCAUAAACAUAGAAACAAAAAUUCCGUAAAUUCACUGUGGCUUGUCACCUCUUGACAUGAACUUCUCUGAGCUCUGGCCAUCUCAGGAUACCUGCACCACCACCAUUAGCACCGUGGCCUUUGUCUUCUUCGCAAGGAAGUUUUUAUCUGGGCACAUUGCUUCCCACAAUAUGAGAC